UGCGUAGGCGGAUUUAUAAGUCAGUGGUGAAAUCCUACAGCUUAACUGUAGAACUGCCAUUGAUACUGUAGAUCUUGAGUACGGUUGAGGUGGGCGGAAUGUGUCAUGUAGCGGUGAAAUGCUUAGAUAUGACACAGAACACCAAUUGCGAAGGCAGCUCGCUAAACCGUAACUGACGCUGAGGCACGAAGGCGUGGGGAGCGAACAGGAUUAGAUACCCUGGUAGUC
rnacentral:rRNA from 1 species